UGAAGCUGUUACUUUUUAUUUCAAAUUGGCUCCUUUUUGCUAUCUCAUUGUAAGUUGUUUUCAAUUGUAUUGGUGUGUAAAAUGCAUGGACACAAGGACACAACUUCAUGCUUCUAGGCUUGGGAUUCUAAUUUAAUUUCUAAGACUAGUUUCUCAUUCUAGAGAAUUUCACACUUUUAAACUAUUUAAGGGCCACGAAAGUUUUAGAUCAAGCUGAUAUUUGUGCCAUUUCUGAAGGUCCAUGGAAGAAAAAGAACCUGCUAGAAUUUAGUAUUGUCACUCAAUGCAUUGCGCCUUAAAGAGUCAAUGACCAAUGCCUGACAAAUGUUCUUUUGAAGAUAAAUGCCAAGCUUGGUGGAAUGAAUUCCUUACUUGUAGUUGAACGCUCACUUUCCAUUCCCCUUAUUUUUGGAGUUCUAACAAUCAUCCUGGGGAUGGAUGUAUCACAUGGUUCCCCAGGCCAGUCCGACGUGCUGUCAAUUGCAGCGGUAAGAUAAGAUGCAUGAUUUUCCUUUUCAACUGUUAGUCAUAGAGUGAUAGUACUUGUUUCAAUUUUCUUGGAUGGAUGAUGAAUGUAUUUGCGAAUGUAAAUAAAAAUAAAGAACUUAAUAUAUAUAUAUAUAUAUGUUAUCAAUGGAGGA